rnacentral:lncRNA from 1 species
UUUUUGUAUCGUGUUGUAAUAAUUUUCUUUUCUUCUUUAUUUUGGACUUGGACUUAGGGUGCAGGGAUUUUUUUCGUCCAAAACCAUUCCACCUCCCCCUUUCUCCUCUUGUUUGUGCAUUUAAAUCAAGAAAAGGGGCUUCCACCUCCCCUCUCAACCAAUGGAACUUUGCAACGUUUCUUGAAACAAAACAAGAGGUGGCAGGCUCUUAAUUAAUAACAGUAGCGGGCCCAAAAUUGGGCCCAAAAACAUUGACAUUUCGAC